CUCUGAAUCCAGCGAUCCGAGUU
rnacentral:piRNA from 3 species